rnacentral:snRNA from 1 species
GACAAAUGCCUCGUUUGUCCCCA